UCCUUGAUAGCUCAGUUGAAAAAGAAUCUGACUGCAAUUCAGGAGACCCCAGUUCGAUUUCUGGGUGAGGAA
rnacentral:tRNA from 1 species